CGAUCAGAUGUGCAGUUGAGCGUGCAGUGAAGACAGCAGAGAGAAAUGUGCAAAAGAUGAAACUUUCAUGAACUAGUGGAAUACUUGAUCAUCGCCAGUAACAUGAUGCAGCACCCAGUAGAAUCGUUCUGUCGAUCUGCUCCGGACGGGACAGCUCGCCUAACGAGACCACAGCAUCACACCCAGGUGAGUGAUGCGCACUAGAACGUCUUCUC